GAUGAACGCUGGCUACAGGCUUAACACAUGCAAGUCGAGGGGAAACGACGGGGAAGCUUGCUUCCCCGGGCGUCGACCGGCGCACGGGUGAGUAACGCGUAUCCAACCUGCCUCUGACUGAGGGAUAACCCGUCGAAAGUCGGCCUAAUACCUCAUGGCAUCGUCUGCGGGCAUCCAACGACGAUUAAAGAUUUCAUCGGUCAGGGAUGGGGAUGCGUCUGAUUAGCUUGUUGGCGGGGUAACGGCCCACCAAGGCUACGAUCAGUAGGGGUUCUGAGGGGAAGGUCCCCCACAUUGGAACUGAGACACGGUCCAAAAUCCUACGGGAGGCAGCAGUGAGGAAUAUUGGGAAAUGGGCGGGAGCCUGAACCAGUCAAGUAGCGUGCAGGAUGACGGGCAUAUGGGUUGUAAACUGCUUUUAUGCGGGGAUAAAGUGAGGGACGUGUCCUUCAUUGCAGGUACCGGAUGAAUAAGGACCGGCUAAGUCCGUG
rnacentral:rRNA from 1 species